UGUGACUGGAGGAAUCAGCGGAGGAGGAGGUGGUGAUAGUGAAGGCAGUUUCGGGCGAACGUGGGGCACUGUCCCAGACGAAGAGGAUGGCUGGUUAUGGUGGGGACCUUUCUGAAGUUUCAUGAUUGGAUUUCAGUCCAGCUCUACUACUAGGAUCAGCAACCUCCGGAACUGUGGUGUCACAACACAGGAAACAUAGAAGCACACUUCAGAGAUUCGUUGAGACCCCGUUGCAGGAUCUAAUCUGGAAAGCGCCCGGGAAAAACAGCCAAAAGCUUUGAAUGUGUCUAAGGUUGUUAGUUGCUGCAAGACUGUGCCCCCUGCUGUUUACAUUCCGAAUGCGACUUGCCCGAACGGAGGCAUUUUGCUGCUGAUGAGCAGCUAGUCUGGAAAGCGCCCUGGUAGAGAACAGGAGAUUUCAAAGGUGUGGUUAACUUUA